UACGUAGGGGGCAAGCGUUGUCCGGAUUUAUUGGGCGUAAAGAGCGUGUAGGCGGCUUGGAAGGUCAGCUGUGAAAACUCGAGGCUCAACCUCGAGACGUCGGUUGAAACCACCUGGCUAGAGUCCGGAAGAGGAGAGUGGAAUUCCCCGGUGUAGCGGUGAAAUGCGCAGAUAUCGGGAAGAACACCCGUGGCGAAGGCGGCUCUCUGGGACGGUACUGACGCUGAGACGCGAAAGCGUGGGGAGCGAACAGG
rnacentral:rRNA from 1 species